rnacentral:misc_RNA from 1 species
CUCAAAUCUGCACACAAAAAGGUUUAGCAUCUUAUUAAUUAUGAACAUUUGCGAGUGCUUAGUUUUGAAGCAAACAAUGGUACUAGCUCUUUAUAAAUUCUUUGAGCUUCAUUUGAAUAAUAUAGUCAUACUCCAGCACAAAAAAAAGAAGGUUGGGGCCGUGUUAACAUCAUUUUUUUUUGGGUAACAUCUGUAAAUCACGAUUGUUUCAGUCCCCAAACGAACAGCAACAGGAUUAGCGGAGAGUAUCACUAUACAGUUACACUCAUCAUUUUCAGGAAUGUUGCUCCUCCCUUUCUUGCAGACUCAAAACGCUUUAAAAAAGUUGAGCAAACUUGUCAUUACUCAACAUGGUGCAUUUUUCAGAGACUAUCAAAAAGUGUUGUUGUAACAAGGAAUAUGCCUCAUCCAACGGAUAUAAAACCAUGAAAAUUUAUGGCAGAGAACAUCUAAGAUUAAAACAAUGUAAGGUCAAGUAGGUGAACCACAAACAGUGUAAUAUUCAGAUACAUAUAGGAAGUAUGUGAGAGUCCAACAGGUUAUGUGAUUUGGCAUAAAAUUAACAAGAAAAAGGUGUUCUUUCUCCCCCUUUCAACCUAUCCAUUAAACGUAUGUGCCAAUGGCGUGUUUUAAGUUUUUUUGAAAAAAAAGUGGACAGCA